rnacentral:tRNA from 1 species
GCCCGGCUAGCUCAGUCAGUAGAGCAUGGGACUCUUAAUCCCAGGGUCGAGGUUCACACCCACAUUGGGCG